UGCAGGAUUAUGGUUGGUGCUGCUGCUGCUGCUGCUUUGUUUGAAUUGGGUUGUUUCAGUGCUUCAAAUUACAAAUGCACAGAAGGUUAGCAAAGACAAUACAAACUUGCAUCAAGUGCAUGCCAAGCAAGAUUGAAAACUGAAGGACCAUCUUUAGAAUAGUAUCAAUAGAAGAACAAUGAAGCCAUGCAGAUAUUUUUUGGUUCCUACAUGGCAAUGCUUUGUGGUAAAAUCACUACAACCUUUUUUUGAUAAGACAAUGGUUUAUAUGAAGCAAUGAAGACCAUUUUUGCUCCCACA